ACUUACCCUCUCCAGUAGCUUACUCUUCAUAAAGGGUUUGACCACGUUGUACGUGGUGGUAAAAUACCAGGGUUGGUGUGUGACGUGGACCGCCUUGAAACGAGCUGGAAAAGAGUCCUGCACAACGUAGCCAAAUAUAUGGUGUCAGAACUCUUUAGUGAUGCAUUUGAAAUUUCAACAAACCUGGAGCAUGUCCACCAUCUUCUUCAGCUCCGCAGGUUUGAUCCCAGACGCAUGCUGCAUGGUGAAGCCUCUGAAGUUCUCAAUGAGGACGAAGCCAUUGAUCUGGGUCUCUUCAUUCUCCAGCAGCUUCUCCAAGAUCACACAGUAGGCUCUCAAGAUCUGCGGCACAUGGAAGCGGCGUGAUGGCGUAAUGCGGAUACGCUUGGUGCUGAGACGAGCAACGAUCGGCUGAUGAAACGAUCAUCGGCCGGAUACGUUCGUCGAACCAGGUGUUAAAAUUUAAAAAUUCCAGACAGGUCCCAGUUCUCGAUGUUGAAGAGCAGGACCACUCGUCCAUAUUUGUCCCGACUUGGCAGCACCACAGGGUAGCCCAGCUCAAUGGUACUGCGGACCGCUUCCGGGUCUGCAGUUAUCUCAAAAACCAUUACAAGAAAACCAACAGUUGUCUGCUUCCUGACUAGUACCAGUAACUUCAAAACCUGAACAUGGAUUUGCAUCAUAAAUGGAAACUGCAGCACAUCCAGGAGGAGCAGGAGGAUGAGAGUCUGAGUCAGAGAUGUGAAGAUGAUAACAAGGGGCUGAAAAUGAAGGACCAGAAUGGGUUAAAGUCAUAUUCAGCAAAAGAGGUAAAGAAGAAUCGAAACAAAGAUAAACUUCCUGCAUGGCUGGUUUGUUUGAUGGUCCAAAUAGAGGAAGCAACAACACACGAACUGACUGUUGAGUGAGAGGGAAGUUUCCAAGAUGAAAAUUCUUUUUGAAGUCAUCCAAAAUCAAAUUUCUCUUUAAAAAAAAUUGCACUGCAAUAUCGUCAUAAUAGGGGACUAAAGUCAAACCUCCAUAAGGCAUGUUCAUCUAGCUCUCGUGAGACCACCAGCCUUGCCACUUUACACUUUACACCCCAGAGACAUUCUCCGCCAUGCAUUCCUUUGGGUCGUUAAGCAUGCUGCACAUGUGACCAAAAAAAACACUGAAAGAAAAUCUCUCAUAUUAGUGAACCACUUUCAGAAAGUAAUGUCUUUACUUAUAACACAGGACAACAUUGACCGCCCAUCUAACACUGAAGUUAUCAGUGCCGAAGGUUCAAAUCAAAUAGAUAUUUUGUGAGUAGGCAGAGUUGCUUUCAGAAAAAUUGUUUUGAUCCCUCUGUGUUUGAGUUUGAUGGUCAAGUUGUUAAUAAAAAAAAA